rnacentral:rRNA from 1 species
GAUGAACGCUGGCGGCGUGCCUAAUACAUGCAAGUCGAACGCAUUGAGAGAAGUGCUUGCACUUUUCAAUUUGAGUGGCGGACGGGUGAGUAACACGUGGGCAACCUACCUGAUAGCGGGGGAUAACGAGUGGAAACAUUCGCUAAUACCGCAUAACAAUAGAGAAGGCAUCUUCUUUAUUUAAAAGGCGCUUUCAAGCGUCACUAUCAGAUGGGCCCGCGGUGCAUUAGUUAGUUGGUGGGGUGAAGGCCUACCAAGACGAUGAUGCAUAGCCGAGUUGAGGGACUGAUCGGCCACAUUGGGACGGAGACACGGCCCUAACUCCUACGGGAGGCUGCAGUAGGGAAUCUUCCACAAGGGACGAAAGUCUGAUGGAGCAACGCCGCGUGUGUGAUGAAGGCUUUCGGGUCGUAAAGCACUGUUGUAUGGGAAGAAAUGCUAGGCUAGGAAAUGAGCUUAGUUUGACGGUACCAUACCAGAAAGGGACGGCUAAAUACGUGCCAGCCGCCGCCGUAA